rnacentral:rRNA from 1 species
AGAGUUUGAUCCUGGCUCAGAACGAACGCUGGCGGCAGGCUUAACACAUGCAAGUCGAGCGCCCCGCAAGGGGAGCGGCAGACGGGUGAGUAACGCGUGGGAAUCUACCCAUCUCUACGGAAUAACGCAUGGAAACGUGUGCUAAUACCGUAUACGUCCUUCGGGAGAAAGAUUUAUCGGAGAUGGAUGAGCCCGCGUUGGAUUAGCUAGUUGGUGGGGUAAAGGCCUACCAAGGCGACGAUCCAUAGCUGGUCUGAGAGGAUGAUCAGCCACACUGGGACUGAGACACGGCCCAGACUCCUACGGGAGGCAGCAGUGGGGAAUAUUGGACAAUGGGCGCAAGCCUGAUCCAGCCAUGCCGAGUGAGUGAUGAAGGCCCUAGGGUUGUAAAGCUCUUUCACCGGGAAGAUAA